GACGAACCGUGCGAACGUUGUUCGGAUUCACUGGGCUUAAAGGGUUCGUAGGCGGUGUGGCAAGUCGGGGGUGAAAUUUCUGGGCUCAACUCAGAGACUGCUUCCGAAACUGCUGUGCUGGAGUGUGGGAGAGGCGCGUGGAAUUGCAGGUGUAGCGGUGAAAUGCGUAGAUAUCGGGAGGAACACCAGAGGCGAAGGCGGGUUACUGGGCUGAUACUGACGCUGAUGCGCGAAAGCCAGGGGAGCAAACGGG
rnacentral:rRNA from 1 species